rnacentral:rRNA from 1 species
CCUAAACUUAUAUCUUAAUCCAACAUCGAGGUCGCAAUCUUUUUUAUCGAUAUGAACUCUCCAAAAAAAUUACGCUGUUAUCCCUAAAGUAACUUAAUUUUUUAAUCAUUAUUAAUGGAUCAAUUAUUCAUAAAUUAAUGGUUUUAAAUAAUUAAAAGUUAAUUAAAUUUUAAUAUCACCCCAAUAAAAUAUAAUUAAAUAUCAUAAAAAAAAAUAUCUAAAUAAUUAAAAUAAUAAUUAUAUAAAGAUUUAUNGGGUCUUCUCGUCUUUUAAAUAAAUUUUAGCUUUUUAACUAAAAAAUAAAAUUCUAUUAUAAUUUUAAAUGAAACAGUAAAUAUCUUGUUCAACCAUUCAUACAAGCCUNCAAUUAAAAGACUAA